rnacentral:rRNA from 1 species
UAGUCCACGCCGUAAACGAUGAUUACUCGCUGUAGGCGAUACACAGUCUGUGGCUAAGCGAAAGUUUUAAGUAAUCCACCUGGGGAGUACGAUCGCAAGAUUGAAACUCAAAGGAAUUGACGGGGGCCCGCACAAGCGGAGGAACAUGUGGUUUAAUUCGAUGAUACGCGAGGAACCUUACCUGGACUUAAAUGUAGAUUGCAUGAAUCAGAGAUGGUUCUUUCUUCGGACUAUUUACAAGGUGCUGCAUGGUUGUCGUCAGCUCGUGUCGUGAGAUGUUCGGUUAAGUCCGGCAACGAGCGCAACCCUCGUCUUUAGUUGCCAUCAUUAAGUUGGGCACUCUAGAGAGACUGCCGAUGUCAAAUCGGAGGAAGGUGGGGAUGACGUCAAGUCCUCAUGGCCCUUACGGCCAGGGCUACACACGUAAUACAAUGGAUGGUACAAAGAGAUGCAAACCAGUGAUGGGGAGCCAACCUCAAAAACCAUUCUCAGUCCGGAUUG